CAACAAAAACUUCCAGCUCGGCGAACAGAACCACAGCAUCUUUCUGACUCUAAUAUAACCCUUUUGAAAUUCCAUAUUAAUAAAGCAACAUAUAAUACAUUAAUUUGAAAGUCUUUUAAACCACUUGUAUGUGCUUGCUGGUUUCAGCCAAAUUGUUCAUUUUCCCUGAUGACGGAACACUUAGUGAACUCUUCCCCCAGACCAAACAUUGCAUAGAAAGCACUGGAGGAACUCAAUGUCUGUCUGGCAGUAUCUCUGGAUAGAGAGACUGUUACAUUUUGAAGCUAAUGUGACCUUUCUUCAAAAAACUGGUGUUACUGAGUCUUCUGUGAUUAGAGAAAAUGGAAAACUUGGCUGAAAUCUACUUGAGCUGAAAAUAUGUUGCUGGAAAAGCGCAGCAGGUCAGGCAGCAUCCAAGGAGCAGGAGAAUCGACGUUUCGGGCGUGAGCCCUUCUUCAGGAAUGAAAUCUACUUGAGUAUGUUUAAUAUUAUGAUGAAGAGAUUUAAAAUGCUUCCAAAUCUACAUACAUCUGUUGCUCUAUAAAAACAAAAUUUCAAUGGUAAACUGAAUAGUACUGUUGUUUUUUUGUGGUUUUUUGCUGAUGUUUGGAUUCAGAUUAACAUUAAUGAGUUAAAAUGGGUCAUAUUAGAAAACUGUUUAAGAAACAUCCUUUCCAUUGUGGGCUUUCAUUCGGUGUUUCUACCACCUGUUGGAUUACAUUUACUCUUAAAUUAUGUUUUGCUUCCAGGGGCAAACAUGUGAGGUCUGUGGAGCCAAAAUUCAUUUUCCCUGUGCUGCAAAAUACUUCCGAGGUCGGAAUGACCCUUGCUGUCCAAACUGUAGGAGGUUCUGGCCUCAUGAAAUCCCAGAUGUCAGCAGGUCUGAACAAUCCAUGCCACCUCCAUCCUCCACGCCAAAAAUGCGUCGCUGAUAUCAGGAAUGAGACACUAAGAGACUUAAAGAAGCAAAGUGAAAUGUCAUGUCUGUGGGAAGUGUGGGAUGGGAGUUCUAAGACGAUUGUGUUAUGAGAUGAAGUAUACUUUGUAAACUGGUGUAAAAGAUUACACUACUGGUAUUUUCAAACUUGUACUUAUUGCUGCACAGCCACCAAUUUAGACCACUGUAGCGCUUGCAUAGAGAGUAUACUCUAAACCUCAGCUUGAGAUUAAAAUCACCAUUGUGGUCCAUCUUAGAGUGAUCAGUUCAGUAGAAUAUUAAGUUGAAAUCAUGUUUCCAUCAAGGAUACUAUGCAAUGGAAAAAGGAAUAAUUAUUUGUAUAAAAUUAAUUACAUUUAAACCAGUGUUUUAACCUCAUACUUCCUCAUCCUACUGCGAUGAUACUUUGAGCAACCCAAAGUGCUAAUACUGAUAAAUAUGAGAACAAUUCUAAUUAACUUGCAAACUGGAAUUUGGGUUACUUAGAACUAAAGCUUACAAAGACAGAAGUGUGAUCAAGAUGCAGUGAUCUUGAUCAAUGUUUAAGGUGCUUAAGAUGUUAAACAGAAUAAGGAUGGGGAAAAGAGGUGGGAGAUUUCAGGUAAUAAACUCAACAUUUCCCUUGCUGCUUUUGAAUUUAAGAACCAGAAUGGUUAAGGGAAGUAUAGUAAGGAAACAAAGGGAUUAGGGUUUCAUAAGUUUUUGUGAUUUGGAACUAUGAUCCAGCAAUACUAAUGUUGGAGAUAAAAUCCUGUAACUUGCUUUCUUCACAGUACUGUGGGUAUGCUUAGCAGUUCAUGAAGGAAGCUUAUGUCCAAGGGUAACUAGGUUUGGGUAAUAAAUACGGCCUUGUCAGUGAUGCUCUCAUCCCAUGAAUUUAAAAAAAAAGUGGGCACCUAUAUUGAUUUGACAGACAAAAAGACAAAAUAAUAUUAAACCAACAAUUUGCAACUUUCUUCAUAGAAGACAAAUUUUAGGCAAAAUAAAUGUCUAGUCAGAAUGAGAACAUAAAAAGUAAGCAUAUUAGAAAACAA